rnacentral:rRNA from 1 species
GACGAACGCUGGCGGCGUGCUUAACACAUGCAAGUCGAACGAUGAACCGGUGCUUGCACCGGGGAUUAGUGGCGAACGGGUGAGUAACACGUGAGUAACCUGCCCUGGACUCUGGGAUAACCCCGAGAAAUCGGAGCUAAUACCGGAUAGGACCUGGAACCGCAUGGUUUUGGGUGGAAAGUUUUUCGGUCUGGGAUGGA